UGGGGAAUUUUGGACAAUGGGCGAAAGCCUGAUCCAGCAAUGCCGCGUGUGUGAAGAAGGCCUUCGGGUUGUAAAGCACUUUUGUCCGGAAAGAAAUCCUUGGCUCUAAUACAGUCGGGGGAUGACGGUACCGGAAGAAUAAGCACCGGCUAACUACGUGCCAGCAGCCGCGGUAAUACGUAGGGUGCAAGCGUUAAUCGGAAUUACUGGGCGUAAAGCGUGCGCAGGCGGUUUGCUAAGACCGAUGUGAAAUCCCCGGGUUCAACCUGGGAACUGCAUUGGUGACUGGCAGGCUAGAGUAUGGCAGAGGGGGGUAGAAUUCCACGUGUAGCAGUGAAAUGCGUAGAGAUGUGGAGGAAUACCGAUGGCGAAGGCAGCCCCCUGGGCCAAUACUGACGCUCAUGCACGAAAGCGUGGGGAGCAAACAGGAUUAGAUACCCUGGUAGUCCACGCCCUAAACGAUGUCAACUAGUUGUUGGGGAUUCAUUUCCUUAGUAACGUAGCUAACGCGUGAAGUUGACCGCCUGGGGAGUACGGUCGCAAGA
rnacentral:rRNA from 1 species